CUACUAUUACUGAGUAUAUGGUGGAUGGUUCUCUAAGGCAUGUUCUACUUUGCAAAGAUAGGUUGAUGUGUUCUCCUUUAGUAUUGUCUUAUGGGAGGUUCGUUCUCACUGGAGAGGAGCCUUAUGCCAACAUGCAUUACGGUGCAACCAUAGGUUAAUUCGACUCCAGAACUUAAUACAGCACCGUGGGGUGUUUUUCCAGCUACUUUGCCCGAGUGUACAAACACGACACCUUCCGUCAUGCCUAUGGCUCAGGACCCUCCUCAUCUGGCCAUUCAAGCACCUCCUGCUACUUCCAACGAGUCUCAGUCCCAACAGGGUAACACUCAGGCUCAGGCAACUCAAAUGGAUGGUCAUGCUAUGCGGACACGUCGCAAAACUCGGGGCACUGGUGAACAGUUCUAUGCCCUUACUUCUAGUUUCGAGCCCACGUGUUACUCUCAAGCAGUUGGUCACGCACAUUGGCGUGAUGCCAUGGAUCAAGAGUUCAAUGCUCUACUUCACAAUAACACCUGGAAAUUGGUACCUCCAAGUCCGAGUAUGAAUAUCAUUGGCUGCAAGUGGGUAUUUAAAACCAAACGUAAGGCUGAUGGCUCUAUUGAAAGGCACAAAGCGCGUCUGGUUGCCAAAGGUUUCAAUUAGGUAGCCGGUGAAGAUUUUUUUGACACCUUCAGCUCUGUGGUCAAACCAACUACGGUUCGCUUAUUAUUUUCCCUUGCUGUUUCGAACAAAUGGACACUACGUCAGUUGGACGUUCAUAAUGCCUUCCUGAACGGGCAUUUAUCUGAAACAGUCUAUA